rnacentral:rRNA from 1 species
AGCUGGAUUCGCUAGUAAUCGCGCAUCAGCCACGGCGCGGUGAAUACGUUCCCGGGCCUUGUACACACCGCCCGUCAAGCCAUGAAAGCCGGGGGUACCUGAAGUGCGUAACCGCAAGGAGCGCCCUAGGGUAAAACUGGUGAUUGGGGCUAAGUCGUAACAAGGUAGC